rnacentral:rRNA from 1 species
GAAUCUGUCGGUUGGUCGGGCUUCACUGUCCGCACUGGCCUGGUGGAUUCCUACCUUCUGAAUAACCAGCAUGCUAUUAAGUUAGUGCGUUGGGGAAGCAGAACUAUUACCUUGAAAAAAUUAGAGUGCUUAAAGCAGGCUUGUGCUUGAAUAGAUUAGCAUGGAAUAAUAAAAUAGGACGGCAUGGUUCUAUUUUGUUGGUUUCUAGGAUUGACGUA